AUGAUGAGUGCCAAGACACUAGCUCGGCUGGCCAAGAAGUGGCAGAGGGUGGCGGCUAUCGGGAAGAAGAGGCUCACCUGGUCGCCAUCAACAUCCACGGAAGAAGCAGGAGGGUCGUGCGCGUCGGUGGCCGGCAAGGGCCACUGCGUCGUGUACACUGCCGAUGGUGCAAGGUUUGAGGUUCCCCUUGCGUUCCUCGGAACGACCGUCUUCAGCGAGCUCUUGAGGAUGUCCCAAGAGGAGUUCGGCUUCGCAGGCGUUGACGGUGGCAGAAUCACGCUGCCCUGCGAUGCAUCGGUGAUGGAGUAUGCCAUGUGCUUGCUCAGGAGAAGCGCCUCCGCGGAGAUGGAGGCCGCGUUCCUCAACACCUUUGCGAUGCCAUGCCACUAUCAUGUGGCGCAACAUCUGGGAGUUGGCCAGCAUUUCGGUGUCUGCAGCUCCUGA
rnacentral:rRNA from 1 species